rnacentral:rRNA from 1 species
UACGUAGGGUGCGAGCGUUGUCCGGAAUUACUGGGCGUAAAGAGCUCGUAGGUGGUUUGUCGCGUUGUUCGUGAAAACUCACAACUCAAUUGUGGGCGUGCGGGCGAUACGGGCAGACUGGAGUACUGCAGGGGAGACUGGAAUUCCUGGUGUAGCGGUGGAAUGCGCAGAUAUCAGGAGGAACACCCGUAGCGAAGGCGGCACUCUGGGCCGAUUCUGACACUGAGGAGCGAAAGCGUGGGGAGCGAACAGG